UGCUGCCUACAUGAGCAAGGUGGAGCUGGAGGCCAAGGUGGAUGCCCUGAAUGAUGAGAUCAACUUCCUCAGGACCCUCAAUGAGACGGAGUUGACAGAGCUGCAGUCCCAGAUCUCCGACACAUCUGUGGUGCUGUCCAUGGACAACAGUCGCUCCCUGGACCUGGAUGGCAUCAUCGCUGAGGUCAAGGCGCAGUAUGAGGAGAUGGCCAAAUGCAGCCGGGCUGAGGCUGAAGCCUGGUACCAGACCAAGGUGUGAGGCCACCAGGGGCAUACUUCCUCCUGCCAGGGUCCUUGUUGGCAGCUUCCCUUACUCCUCAACUUGUCUCAAGCCUUCAGGGCCUGGGUCCCACUGUUCUGGCAGGCACCAGUGGUUUAAGUCUGUGGUGCUCUGCCCUGGAGAAAAUCCCAAGAUGGGAGGACAGGGCAGAGGAAAUAGAUAUGGAUUAAUCAUUAUAAUAGCUAAAAUAUGGCAAGUACUCACACAGUACUAGGCUCAUGUAAUUAUUGACUCAUGUAAUCCACAGAACAGCCCUAUUAGAUAGGCAUCAUUAUUACCCCCAUUUUGUUUUAUUUAAUUUAAUUUAU
rnacentral:sRNA from 1 species